GUCCCUGAGUAUAAGAAAAAAACAACUUUAAAACAAGAAGUAUCAAUAAGUUUUGCUUGAUCUACAACACAUAAACCAACAAAUUUAUUGAUAUCCAUGAUAAUAUAGGUACUUAACUCCUACCAUGCAAUAAAAAAAAUAUAUAAUGGAAGGAUAUCAUACCCAACUAUUAGAAGAAGAAUGUCCAGAUGACACAAACAUAUCUCUAAAAGGAAUGAAGUCAUAUCUCUAAAAAAAAUGAUGUCAUAAACAUAUACAC
rnacentral:lncRNA from 1 species